rnacentral:rRNA from 1 species
GACGAACGCUGGCGGCGUGCUUAACACAUGCAAGUCGAACGGUGAAGCACCUUCCUUUUGGUGGGUGUGGAUGAGUGGCGAACGGGUGAGUAACACGUGAGUAACCUGCCCCCUUCUUCUGGAUAACCGCAUGAAAGUGUGGCUAAUACGGGAUAUUCUGCGCCUGCUGCAUGGUGGGUGUGGGAAAGAUAUUGUUUCGGUGGGGGAUGGGCUCGCGGCCUAUCAGCUUGUUGGUGGGGUGAUGGCCUACCAAGGCGGUGACGGGUAGCCGGCCUGAGAGGGUGGACGGUCACACUGGGACUGAGACACGGCCCAGACUCCUACGGGAGGCAGCAGUGGGGAAUAUUGCACAAUGGGCGCAAGCCUGAUGCAGCGACGCCGCGUGAGGGAUGGAGGCCUUCGGGUUGUAAUCCUCUUUCGCCA